rnacentral:rRNA from 1 species
UAUAGGAGGUCAGCCUGCCAGUGACUACAAGUUCAACGGCCGCGGUAUUUUGACCGUGCAAAGGUAGCGCAAUCACUUGUCUUUUAAAUAGAGACCUGUAUGAAUGGCUAAACGAGGGCUUAACUGUCUCCCCUUUCCAGUCAGUGAAAUUGAUCUGCCCGUGCAGAAGCGGACAUAAAAAUACAAGACGAGAAGACCCUUUGGAGCUUAAGGUACAAAACUCAACCACGUCAAGCGACUCAAUAUAAAAGCAAAAACUUUGUGGAAUAUGAGAUUUUACCUUCGGUUGGGGCGACCACGGAGGAAAACAAAGCCUCCAAGUGGAUUGGGACAAACCUCCUAAAACCAAGAGAGACAUCUCUAAGCCACAGAACAUCUGACCAAACAUGAUCCGGCUGCCCGAAGCCGAUCAACGAACCAAGUUACCCUAGGGAUAACAGCGCAAUCCUCUCCCAGAGUCCAUAUCGACGAGAGGGUUUACGACCUCGAUGUUGGAUCAGGACAUCCUAAUGGUGCAGCCGCUAUUAAGGGUUCGUUUGUUCAACGAUUAAAGUCCUACGUGAUCUGAG